GACGAACGCUGGCGGCGUGCCUAAUACAUGCAAGUUGAGCGCUCAAGCUUGGUGCUUGUACCAACUAGAUUAGCAGCGAACGGGUGAGUAACGCGUGGAGAAUCUGCCUUUGAGCGUGGGACAACAUUUGGAAACGAAUGCUAAUACCGCAUAAAAACUUUAAACACAAGUUUUAAGUUUGAAAGAUGCAAUUGCAUCACUCAAAGAUGAUCCCGCCUUGUAUUAGCUAGUUGGUUAGGUAAACGCUCGCCAAGGCGAUGAUACAGAACCUAACCGAGAGGGUGGUCGGCCAACAUGGGACUGAGACACGGCCCAAAACUCCAACGGGGGGAGCAGGAGGGAAUUUUCGGGCAUGGACGGAAGUCUGAACGAGCAAAGCCGGGGGAGUGAAGAAGGUUCUCGGAUCGUAAAAACCCGUUGGUAGAGGAGAAAGUAGGGUAGAGUGAAAUGCUCACGAAGUGACGGUAACUACUCAGAAAGCGACGGCUAACUACGUG
rnacentral:rRNA from 1 species